UCAUUGAUGGUUUAGGGGUAACGAUUAUGGCUCUGGCCCAUGAUGAAUUGCUGGGUGGCAAGCCGGUCCGAUGAA
rnacentral:tRNA from 1 species